rnacentral:misc_RNA from 1 species
GUGUUUAUUAUCAAUUUAAUAAUUAGACAUGGCAUUCGAAGGGGUUUAUCAAAGGAUAAAUUAAACAUAAGCCCGAGGUAGGUAGGUGGAAGCAACUUCCCAAUUCCCCCCCCAAGGGACCUACAAAUGGUGCACAAUGUGAGAAGGUGGUAAAAGGGGUUUUCAAGGAGUGCACAUGCCUGCGAGAGGCCAGCAGCAUCCUCGAGCAUUCUUUAAUGAUCCUUCCGCAGGUUCACCUACGGAAA